ensembl:lncRNA
AGGACCAUGGGCCUGAGAACAUGGUGACUCCAGCCUUGUGAGAGGAAUCAGAGGACCCAGACGAGUUACACUGUAACCAGACUUCGGAACCAGCCAGGGAGUGAACCCAUGUCCCCUGCAUUGCAAGGUGGAUUCUUAACCACUGGAACCACCUGGGGAUCUUCCCGACCCAGGGAUCGAACCCACGUCUCUUGCAUCUCUUGCACUGGCAGGCGGAUUCUUUACCACUGCACCACCUGGGAAUCCCUGGUGAGCUCGAAAUGUGGAAGCAACUACAGUGUCUCAAAGGACUAAAUACCUUGUGAUGACUCUUCUCAUCUGUUACCAAUGCCCAGCGAAUGCAAACAAGGACUCACAAAGGCAGAGGGAUAAACAUAUUUAAGCCAGACCUAUUUCCAGAGAAAUAAAUUAAAGAUGGUUCAAACAAACGCUUCAAACACACAAGAAUAAUGAUUUCCCCAUGGAUACAUUGUGUGCUUGCUGGCACUAUAACUUUGGCCUUACAUGCAGGAGCCCAUAAAAAGUUAGGGGCAGGAUAAAAAGAAACAAGGAGUGCACAGUGGAGUGAAGCCAUUCGCACUGCAGCCGAAUAUCGCUGCCCCAAAUUACCCCGCCGGAGUCUGCUGUCUGGGGAUUCCAGACACCUGGAAUGCAGCGAAUUCAAUGUCUGUGGAAGCACCAUC